GAUGAACGCUGGCGGCGUGCCUAAUACAUGCAAGUCGAGCGAACGGACGAGAAGCUUGCUUCUCUGAUGUUAGCGGCGGACGGGUGAGCAACACGUGGAUAACCUACCUAUAAGACUGGGAUAACUUCGGGAAACCGGAGCUAAUACCGGAUAAUAUUUUGAACCGCAUGGUUCAAAAGUGAAAGACGGUCUUGCUGUCACUUAUAGAUGGAUCCGCGCUGCAUUAGCUAGUUGGUAAGGUAACGGCUUACCAAGGCAACGAUGCAUAGCCGACCUGAGAGGGUGAUCGGCCACACUGGAACUGAGACACGGUCCAGACUCCUACGGGAGGCAGCAGUAGGGAAUCUUCCGCAAUGGGCGAAAGCCUGACGGAGCAACGCCGCGUGAGUGAUGAAGGUCUUCGGAUCGUAAAACUCUGUUAUUAGGGAAGAACAUAUGUGUAAGUAACUGUGCACAUCUUGACGGUACCUAAUCAGAAAGCCACGGCUAACUACGUGCCAGCAGCCGCGGUAAUACGUAGGUGGCAAGCGUUAUCCGGAAUUAUUGGGCGUAAAGCGCGCGUAGGCGGUUUUUUAAGUCUGAUGUGAAAGCCCACGGCUCAACCGUGGAGGGUCAUUGGAAACUGGAAAACUUGAGUGCAGAAGAGGAAAGUGGAAUUCCAUGUGUAGCGGUGAAAUGCGCAGAGAUAUGGAGGAACACCAGUGGCGAAGGCGACUUUCUGGUCUGUAACUGACGCUGAUGUGCGAAAGCGUGGGGAUCAAACAGGAUUAGAUAUCCUGGUAGUCCACGCCGUAAACGAUGAGUGCUAAGUGUUAGGGGGUUUCCGCCCCUUAGUGCUGCAGCUAACGCAUUAAGCACUCCGCCUGGGGAGUACGACCGCAAGGUUGAAACUCAAAGGAAUUGACGGGGACCCGCACAAGCGGUGGAGCAUGUGGUUUAAUUCGAAGCAACGCGAAGAACCUUACCAAAUCUUGACAUCCUUUGACAACUCUAGAGAUAGAGCCUUCCCCUUCGGGGGACAAAGUGACAGGUGGUGCAUGGUUGUCGUCAGCUCGUGUCGUGAGAUGUUGGGUUAAGUCCCGCAACGAGCGCAACCCUUAAGCUUAGUUGCCAUCAUUAAGUUGGGCACUCUAAGUUGACUGCCGGUGACAAACCGGAGGAAGGUGGGGAUGACGUCAAAUCAUCAUGCCCCUUAUGAUUUGGGCUACACACGUGCUACAAUGGACAAUACAAAGGGCAGCGAAACCGCGAGGUCAAGCAAAUCCCAUAAAGUUGUUCUCAGUUCGGAUUGUAGUCUGCAACUCGACUACAUGAAGCUGGAAUCGCUAGUAAUCGUAGAUCAGCAUGCUACGGUGAAUACGUUCCCGGGUCU
rnacentral:rRNA from 1 species